AUUGAACGCUGGCGGCAUGCCUUACACAUGCAAGUCGAACGGCAGCGGGGACUUCGGUCCGCCGGCGAGUGGCGAACGGGUGAGUAAUGUAUCGGAACGUACCUUUCAGUGGGGGAUAACGUAACGACAGUUACGCUAAUACCGCAUAUUCUGUCAGCAGGAAAGCAGGGGAUCGCACGACCUUGCGCUGCUUGAGCGGCCGAUAUCAGAUUAGCUUGGUGGUGAGGUAAAGGCUCAACAAGGCGACGGUCUGUAGCGAGUCUGGGAGGAUGAUCCGCCACACUGGAACUGAGACACGGUCCAGACUCCUACGGGAGGCAGCAGUGGGGAAUUUUGGACAAUGGGGGCAUCCCUGAUCCAGCCAUGCCGCGUGAGUGAAGAAGGCCUUCGGGUUGUAAAGCUCUUUCGGCCGGGAAGAAAUCGCAUGGGUUAAUACCCUGUGCGGAUGACGGUACCGGCACAAGAAGCACCGGCUAACUACGUGCCAGCAGCCGCAGUAAGAC
rnacentral:rRNA from 1 species